rnacentral:rRNA from 1 species
AGUGAACGCUGGCGGUAGGCCUAACACAUGCCAGUCGAACGGCAGCACAGUAAGAGCUUGCUCUUACGGGUGGCGAGUGGCGGACGGGUGAGGAAUACAUCGGAAUCUACUUUUUCGUGGGGGAUAACGUAGGGAAACUUACGCUAAUACCGCAUACGACCUACGGGUGAAAGCAGGGGAUCUUCGGACCUUGCGCGAUUGAAUGAGCCGAUGUCGGAUUAGCUAGUUGGCGGGGUAAAGGCCCACCAAGGCGACGAUUCGUAGCUGGUCUGAGAGGAUGAUCAGCCACACUGGAACUGAGACACGGUCCAGACUCCUACGGGAGGCAGCAGUGGGGAAUAUUGGACAAUGGGCGCAAGCCUGAUCCAGCCAUACCGCGUGGGUGAAGAAGGCCUUCGGGUUGUAAAGCCCUUUUGUUGGGAAAGAAAAGCAGCAGGUUAAUACCCCGCUGUUCUGACGGUACCCAAAGAAUAAGCACCGGCUAACUUCGUG